rnacentral:rRNA from 1 species
UCGAGGGGUAUUGUUCUUCGGAAUGAGAGACCGGCGCACGGGUGCGUAACGCGUAUGCAAUCUACCUUUCACAGAGGGAUAGCCCAGAGAAAUUUGGAUUAAUACCUCAUAGCAUAAUGAGUUGGCAUCAACACAUUAUUAAAGUCACAACGGUGAAAGAUGAGCAUGCGUCCCAUUAGCUAGUUGGUAAGGUAACGGCUUACCAAGGCUACGAUGGGUAGGGGUCCUGAGAGGGAGAUCCCCCACACUGGUACUGAGACACGGACCAGACUCCUACGGGAGGCAGCAGUGAGGAAUAUUGGUCAAUGGGCGCAAGCCUGAACCAGCCAUGCCGCGUGCAGGAUGACGGUCCUAUGGAUUGUAAACUGCUUUUGUACGGGAAGAAACACUCCGACGUGUCGGAGCUUGACGGUACCGUAAGAAUAAGGAUCGGCUAACUCCGUGCCAGCAGCCGCGGUAAUACGGAGGAUCCAAGCGUUAUCCGGAAUCAUUGGGUUUAAAGGGUCCGUAGGCGGUUUAGUAAGUCAGUGGUGAAAGCCCAUCGCUCAACGGUGGAACGGCCAUUGAUACUGCUAGACUUGAAUUAUUGGGAAGUAACUAGAAUAUGUAGUGUAGCGGUGAAAUGCUUAGAGAUUACAUGGAAUACCAAUUGCGAAGGCAGGUUACUACCAAUGGAUUGACGCUGAUGGACGAAAGCGUGGGUAGCGAACAGGAU